GGACCAUAGCUCAGUGGUAGAGUAGGUGCUUUGCAUGCAGAAGGUCACUUGUUCAAUCCCUGGCAUCUCCA